AUACGAUUACAAAAAUAACCAGUGGACCGGAAGAAAAACCGUUGCGCUCUGGAAAACAUCGGACUGCCCGCGACGGUCGCGCCGUUGAUUACUCGUGUACUCCCGAAUGUGCGGUGCGAGCAAUGCGCAAAUAUGAAACGAAUCUCCGGACCAAAAGAACCGUAAUAAUAUUAUGUUGAUGAAUACGUUUUUUCUCUCAGACACAAUUUGUAGUUUAGUAACAGCCACAUAUUUCAUAUAGUGUCAUCAAAUAGGUAAUGAUAUUUUGUUUACAGG